rnacentral:lncRNA from 1 species
CUGUGACCCGGAGGCGCUGGGGCUGCCCUGGGCCGUCACGUGCGAGAAAUCGUCUCACCCCAGCCAGUGUGAGGGAGUGAGAGCAAAAGAAAGUUUUGAUAGCAGCGUACGAUUUAUAUUCAGCUGUAUGCUGGACAGGUCCAACUUGGCAUUUCUUGGCUGUAUCUCUGAAGGAAAGUCAUCUUAAUCUCUAUGAGCCUCCAUUUCCUCAGCUGUAAAAUGGGAAGAUCUUCCUCACACUGCUGUGGCCCAGAACCAUAUCCUGCUCCACAAGCCUCGUCCUUGGCAAGAAGUUGCACCUGCCCAGAGAGAAAACCUUUUGAAACUGGCACAAAGGCACUGGAGAGACUGGCAGGGCCCCCUACUUGACGAUCUGGCUCAUCCAUCUGCACACUGACCACGCUAAGAGCUGUCUGCAGUGAUGGAAACCUUCUCUAGCUGUGCUGUCCUCUAUAGUGGCACUAGCUGCCUGUGGCUACUGAGCACUUCAACUGUGGCUGCAGAGACUAUGUUAAAUUGUAUUUAAUCAUAAUUAAUUUAAUUGUAAACAACUACAUGUGGCUAGUGGUUUCUGUACUGGGCACUGCAGGUGCACAUUUCCUGCCUGGCCAUGGACAGUAAGCUCCGUAAGAGACUAAUUGUGCCUGGUUUGCUUAUAGGCUUAUCCUCAGCACCUGCACCAGCCUAGAAUAUGAUUGGCACUCUAUUAAUUAAAAGUUCCCAGGUAAAUGAAUUAGUGGAUUCUCUGUUUCCUCCACUAUGCCACAACCUCCUUAAGGGCAGAGAUGGUGUCUUCAAAAAAAAAAAAAUUCUGGUCAAAAACACAUAAGAUCUACCACCUUCACCAUUGUUGUGUCCAGUUCAGUAGUAUUAACUACACUUACAUUGUGAUACAACAAAAGAUUGUGUCUUUUUACAUUCUUAGGACCCAGCACAGUGUCUGGCACAUAAUCUUAGUAAACACUGGCAGAGCACAUGCCUUUGCCAAGGCCAGAACAGAGGUUCAGUGCCAUCCAUUACCACCCUUUCACACAUCCACUGGGGCUUUAAAAACAACCUGGAAUGAAAGCUGUUGAGUCUAGAGAAAUGGGCUACAAAGAAGGUUUACAAGAUAAUCUAUUAAGAAUAGGGAAUACAGGCUGGGCACGGCGGCUCACACCUGUAAUCCCAGCACUUUGGGAGGCUGAGGUGGGUGGAUCAUUUGAGGUCAGGAGUUCGAGACCAGCCUGGCCAAUAUGGUGAAAUCCUGUCUCUACCAAAAAUUAUCCAGGCAUGGUGGUGCGUGCCUGUAGUCCCAGCUACUUGGGAGGCUGAGGCAUGAGCAUCGCUUGAACCCGGGAGGCAGAGGUUGCAGUGAGCCGAGAUCGCGCCACUACACCCCAGCCUGGGUGACAGAGCAAGACUCCGUCUCAAAAAAAUAAAAAAAUCUAAAAUAAAGCUUAAUACACAUGACAUAUGGAUUGGCAGUCACACAUAAAUAUGAUUGAUAAGGAUACAAAUAUUUGGAGGUGCUGCCUGACCAUCUGUUGCUGAUUAUGUGGAGAUCACUUGUCUAGGACCCUGAGAUAGACUGCUGUUUCUAACUCUGCCAAACACGGUCUCUCCCACCCUCCAGACACUUUCUUCCUUCAGUUCAGGGAACCCUCAAUACACAGUAAGAAUGAAGAGGUUGCAGGUCUGAGCUUGAGGAGGACUGGACUAAAAGGAGUUUAGCCCUGCCAGGGCAUUCUGAGGACUGUGAAGAUCUGGAAUAUUGGCCACAGGCAUCUAUGUAUUUGAAUCAUAUCUAUUUUUGAGCUCACUCCUAGCAGAGGAGUCAAAACUUAUGUUCUGGCCCCCAGGUACAUUUCCAGUCUCUUACUCAUAAAAUUGUGACAUACCCCCAGGGGUGCCCAAAGGGGUUUGUGAAUCAAGAUAGUUUGAGGAGAAUCGAUUUUCUGAUCCUCAGUUUUUCUAUGCUCUUUUUCCUAAAAGCGAUAUUCCUAAAAAGGCAUCCAAGACAAGGCAUCCCCUUUCCCAUUUGCUGGGGAAGACAGCUUUACAAGAGAAAGCUGCCCCUCUCACCCAUGUGACCGUCACCCCCCACUCUGGGGCACUGCCCUAGGGGUAGAAAUCUCCAAGGCAUCAAACAAAGUGACUCCUGGGGGUCAAGUGACAGAGGAGCAAGUCUUUCUGCAAGUCAAGUGGUUUCCAGCUCUGCUUUCAGCAAAAUUGAAAGAGGCACUAAUCAAAUUGCCAGCGGAUCAUAAAAAAAAUUUUGAUAAUAAUGUUAUUAGGCAUAUAACUUGGAAGAAGUUCAAAUAAUUGAAUGGCAUCCUCAUAAC